CCUACGGGUGGCAGCAGUGGGGAAUAUUGCGCAAUGGGCGAAAGCCUGACGCAGCGACGCCGCGUGAGGGAUGAAGGUCUUCGGAUCGUAAACCUCUGUCAGCAGGGAAGAACGGUCACUGUGCUAAUCAGCAGUGAAUUGACGGUACCUGCAAAGGAAGCACCGGCUAACUCCGUGCCAGCAGCCGCGGUAAUACGGAGGGUGCGAGCGUUAAUCGGAAUUACUGGGCGUAAAGCGCUCGUAGGCGGUAUGUCAAGUCAAGGGUGAAAGCCCCGCGCUCAACGUGGGAACUGCCUUUGAAACUGGCAAACUGGAGUGUGUGAGAGGAUAGGGGAAUUCCAGGUGUAGGAGUGAAAUCCGUAGAUAUCUGGAGGAACAUUAGUGGCGAAGGCGACUAUCUGGCACAUAACUGACGCUGAGGAGCGAAAGCGUGGGUAGCAAACAGGAUUAGAUACCCGAGUAGUC
rnacentral:rRNA from 1 species